rnacentral:rRNA from 1 species
AUUGAACGCUGGCGGCAGGCCUAACACAUGCAAGUCGAGCGGAUGAAGGGAGUUUGCUCCUGGAUUCAGCGGCGGACGGGUGAGUAAUGCCUAGGAAUCUGCCUGGUAGUGGGGGAUAACGUCCGGAAAGGGGUGCUAAUACCGCAGACGUCCGGAGGGAGAAAGGGGGUGAUCUUCGGACAUCAUGUUAGCAGAUGAGCCGAGGUCGGAUUAGCUAGUUGGUGGGGUAAAGGCCUACCAAGGCGACGAUCCGUAACUGGUCUGAGAGGAUGAUCAGUCACACUGGAACUGAGACACGGUCCAGACUCCUACGGGAGGCAGCAGUGGGGAAUAUUGGACAAUGGGCGAAAGCCUGAUCCAGCCAUGCCGCGUGUGUGAAGAAGGUCUUCGGAUUGUAAAGCACUUUAAGUUGGGAGGAAGGGCAGUAAGUUAAUACCUUGCUGUUUUGACGUUACCAACAGAAUAAGCACCGGCUAACUUCGUG